GUUACAGUACUAAUAAUCAUUGUGGCUGUCAUCAUAUGGAAGAGACCUAAAGGCGGCAAAACACAGAUGGAUGACGACACUGCACGGAGCUUAAACCCUGCGGUGACUCAGUCUGGCCCAGAAACCAGUCAGGAGAUGGUGAGAUCACUCAGUACAAAGUUACACUCAGUGUUAUGUGUAUGUAAGGUGAAUUAGAAGAUUCAUUUCCUUCUGCCAUCAGCAAGAAAAGGGAAGGAAGUAGAGGCAGCUGAAUUACACCAGAAUAGAACAUAAAAGUGUGAAGCAGGAAGUUGUGAGUGUGAAGUGUGGGGUAACGUGGAGAAAACAAACAAAAACAAAACAAAAAAAAAACGGAAGGUGUCUUUUCUCUGCAGGCUGAUCC